rnacentral:ncRNA from 1 species
AGUUUUCUUCGGGGCGGGGUGAAAUUCCCUACCGGCGGUUAUAGUCCGCGACUCCUUUCUUUGAAGGGACUGAUCUGGUGAAAUUCCGGAACCGACAGUUAAAGUCUGGAUGGGAGAAGAAAAUG